GGGAGCGCGGCCGCCGCCCGGGCCUCGGCGCUCCCCGCGCAGUCACACUCCGCGCACUCACACACUUGGAAGCGCCUCCCCACGUCCCUCCCCUGCCCUCCUCUGCUCCGCUCUGCUCUCUCUCUCUCACCACAAACAGUCGCCGACCGACUGCCAAUCCGUGUCUGUCUCAACAUGACUGCCUGGGAAGCGGUGGCUCGGGCAGAGCGGCGCUGCGGCCGCGGGCUGCGGCAGGAGGAGGAUCAUUAAAAAACGCAGCUCGGCUCUGCAACCGGGAGUGGAGAAGGAGCCCAACGGCCGAGAAGGGGAGGGAGGGCAGAGGAGGGGACCGGGAAAGACACCCCCGAGCCCCGAAGACAUACAUUUCUGAGUGCCCGGGAGAAGCCUUAACAAGCGGCGCGGAGCCCUUCANGGCCAUCAAUAGGACCCACAAGACACAAAGUACCUACUUGGUUUCAGCAGCCUUCAUUCUUCAUAUCCUUACAGUUGAACACCUUCCCACUGAAAUGGAACACAUAUCCCUAACCCCAAGGAAGGCUAUUGAAAAUAAUACACACACAUUUUACUGUAAAGCUGGUUUUAUUAAAAGCCUUGAAGAGGAAAGAGAAGCGGACAUCUAGGUGAGUGUACAUGAUUAGUACUGAUUAAGAACGGUGAAGAAAAGAGCUGAAAUACUAUUUAAUCUAGGCUGCAACACAAUUUCUUUCGGUUUCUUUUUCUAUUUGCUUUAUAACAGGUACAAAUUCCAAAGAUGUAACUUGAAGCUUAGGGAUGACUUGGGACAGUGUCUACCUGUAGCAAAUUUAUGUUUGUUCCUAGAAGUAGUAACCUGUGCUUUUAUAGAACCUAGGUAUGGGUUACCACUGAGAGAAUAGGGCAUUAUCUUUAUUAUUUUAAAUUGGAAUGUCUCUAAGCGCCUGUCAAGCACAGCAUUGUUAAAACAUUGAAAUUCCAACUGUCCCUUCAUUAAUUUCACGAAGAAGAAAGAGAAGUGAAGUGGUCAACCUAUUGUCCGUCUUCAUUUGAUGUUAACUAAGAAGCUCUGUAUUAUGACUAUAACAUGCCAGCUGUUGGUAGUUGGUGUUUU
rnacentral:lncRNA from 1 species